AGAAGAGGCCAGGGAGGAUCUGAGAUGGCCUUCUUCAACUUGUAUCUAUUGGGAUAUCAAAAUUCCUUUCAGAACAAGAAAAGGAACACAACUGAAGAAACAAAAACUUUUUGUUUAUCCCUAGAGUUAAGAAUUCCUGGCCUCCAUGGUAGCUCACGCCUGUAAUCCCAGGACUUUGGAAGCCCGAGACCAGAAGGAACCAGAGCCUACUAGGCUUCCCCCCAUUAUCUCAAAAGAUGGGAAUUAUUCCGUGCACCAGAAUAGCCACACAAGAUACCACGAAGCUGUCCGGAAGGUGUUGUUGAAGACGUUUCCCAAUCAGGUCUUCAGAAUCCCCUUGACUGAUGCUCAGAACUUCAGCUUCUGGUGGUCCCAUGAUCCAGGAGUGCGUCCAGAGGAAACCAUGCCAUGGAUCCGGAGCCCACGCCAUUGUCUCAUAAAAAGCGCGAUGACCAGGUUUAUGGAUCACUCUAUUCUCAAUGACAGGACCUUCAGUCUGUAUUAAGAAGAUAUGGCUGCAGAAAGACAAGAUGAAUUGUGGCAAGAGUGCAGAGGGGGAAAGAAGGAGGUUUCCCAGUUCCGAUGGCUGACUAAUGGGAGGAGGAGAUGGAGAAAGCACAGUAAACAGACUGGAC
rnacentral:lncRNA from 10 species